CAUGCAGUCGAGCGCACCCUUCGGGGCGAGCGGCGGACGGGUUAGUAACGCGUGGGAACAUACCCUUUUCUAUGGAAUAGCCUUUGGAAACGAAGAGUAAUACCAUAUACGCCCUUCGGGGGAAAGAUUUAUCGGAGAAGGAUUGGCCCGCGUAAGAUUAGAUAGUUGGUGGGGUAAUGGCCUACCAAGUCUACGAUCUUUAGCUGGUUUUAGAGGAUGAUCAGCAACACUGGGACUGAGACACGGCCCAGACUCCUACGGGAGGCAGCAGUGGGGAAUCUUAGACAAUGGGCGCAAGCCUGAUCUAGCCAUGCCGCGUGUGUGAUGAAGGCCUUAGGGUCGUAAAGCACUUUCGCCAGAGAUGAUAAUGACAGUAUCUGGUAAAGAAACCCCGGCUAACUCCGUGCCAGCAGCCGCGGUAAUACGGAGGGGGUUAGCGUUGUUCGGAAUUACUGGGCGUAAAGCGUACGUAGGCGGAUCAGAAAGUAGGGGGUGAAAUCCCGAGGCUCAACCUCGGAACUGCCUCCUAAACUCCUGGUCUUGAGUUCGAGAGAGGUGAGUGGAAUUCCAAGUGUAGAGGUGAAAUUCGUAGAUAUUUGGAGGAACACCAGUGGCGAAGGCGGCU
rnacentral:rRNA from 1 species